CUCGCUCUCCCUUUCCCGUCUCUGUGGUUUGUAAGGUAGGUUGCAGUGUGUGUAUAUACACAACAUCAAGAGCAGGAAAAUGGACUCAUUAGGGAGGCAGGCAGUCAUUACCACUCACACUGUACUUCCAGGGAGACAGCGACUAUGAGGAGACAAACUGAGGACUGGGGAACAAGCAGCAUAAGAAAGAAGUGUUGAGAGCUGCUCUUAACCCUUUUGGAGUCCGAAGUCAAAAGGGAACUAGAGGGCUUGACACAUCCUUUACAUCCUGCGUUUACUCUGACCACGGUCCCUCCCUGUUCUCACAAGCGGAGCUCAGCCCUGCUUCCCUUCCUGUUGAUUCCCAGUCAGCUACAUGACUGCCUGAAGUUACAUUGUAGAUGCUGAAAUCACUGCACCUUAAAAACAAAAAGAUUAAGCUGCACUGCAUUCCUAAUGUUGGAAUUUUUGGACUGUGCAUCUGUUUAGGCACGUGGAGAAAGACAAGACUGAGAUCAUGUAAGUCAUGAAACUGAGGGUGAAUAAUCCAUACUUUGUUCUCUCACCAUUUUUACAAUUUC